GACGAACGCUGGCGGCGUGCUUAACACAUGCAAGUCGAACGGAAAGGCCCUGCUUUUGUGGGGUGCUCGAGUGGCGAACGGGUGAGUAACACGUGAGUAACCUGCCCUUGACUUUGGGAUAACUUCAGGAAACUGGGUCUAAUACCGGAUAGGAGCUCCUGCUGCAUGGUGGGGGUUGGAAAGUUUCGGCGGUUGGGGAUGGACUCGCGGCUUAUCAGCUUGUUGGUGGGGUAGUGGCUUACCAAGGCUUUGACGGGUAGCCGGCCUGAGAGGGUGACCGGCCACAUUGGGACUGAGAUACGGCCCAGACUCCUACGGGAGGCAGCAGUGGGGAAUAUUGCACAAUGGGCGGAAGAAUGAUGCAGCAACGCCGCGUGCGGGAUGACGGCCUUCGGGUUGUAAACCGCUUUCGCCUGUGACGAAGCGUGAGUGACGGUAAUGGGUAAAGAAGCACCGGCUAACUACGUG
rnacentral:rRNA from 1 species